rnacentral:lncRNA from 1 species
AUCCCCGGUAACAAAAACAAACAAACAAAAAAAGAACAAGAGACCAGAAGAGAGAAUGUGAGGAGCUGGCUGGACAGGGAAAGGGUGGCCUUUCCUCUUUCCAAGGUCAGAGAGAGAAGCCUGAGGUGAUUUGAGACAAGAUGCCAAGGUGAUUAUCGACUAGCUUCUGCAGCAUCUCUGUACUAAUCCUCUGGGUCUCUCUUGCUGUAUGUAAUCUGACUCCUCGCGCAGCCGGAAGGCCAAUAGAAGCAGAAGGUACAAAUCCAGUGGAAGGUUCAGCACCGCAGCAUCCAUGCUACAGCUUCAAGGGUGACAGCCACACCUGCAAGUCACACAGAAGUCCCUCCCAUCCCUAUCUG